UACGUAGGCAGCAAGCGUUGUUCGGAGUUACUGGGCGUAAAGAGUGCGUAGGCGGUUUCGUAAGUUUGGUGUGAAAUCUCCCGGCUUAACUGGGAGGGUGCGCCGAAAACUGCGGGGCUGGAGUGUGGGAGAGGUAAGCGGAAUUCCUGGUGUAGCGGUGAAAUGCGUAGAUAUCAUGAGGAAGACCAGUGGCGAAGGCGGGUCUCUGGACAGUUCCUGACACUGAGACACGAAGGCCAGGGGAGCAAACGGG
rnacentral:rRNA from 1 species